GUAAGGGUGCACGAGUAAUUGGUGGGGUGCACAAAGCAAAUACAACAACAAACCCAAAAACAAUAGACAAAGGCAUGGGGUGCAGGAGUAUCACAUGUGGGAGGUGCGUGAAGUAACAGGUGGGGUGCGUGCAAUAAAUAAAGGGGUGUGCUAAGGAAACACAAAAUGGAGGUGCAGGAAUUAAAAAAAGAGGGUGUGCACGAAGGAGAGAAAGGAGGAGGGUGUGGUUGAGGUAAAAGAGGGGGUGCGUGUGGUAAUGCAGUGAUGAAGCCUGAAGCUCUUUUUCUUUCUUUUUCAAGAAAAACCCUAAUUGAAAAUAAAAUUCAUUCCCUCCACUACGGCAACUCCUUCUUCUCGACCCAAGAUCCUGUCGCCGCUCACCUCCAUCACAGGGCAGGCCAUGACCUGCAUCGACGACGCCGGCCACCGUUGAAGGCCGUCGGCGUUCGCAUUGCAGUUUUUUCCUUUAAUUUUCCGCGCGCACGAACGCUCCCUCAAUCGCAUCUUGUCCUCCAAACGCGAUUCACUCUCUCGUAAGCUUCGCGUGCCACCAAAGCCACCGGUGACGGCACCAACCGCUGCCGAAAGCGUCGCCGGCCUCCGCUGCGUUCCAAGUCUCUCAGUCUUCUUCUCGCGCGAGCCACGCUAAGUCUGGAAUCCACCACGCGAGCCCCGCUGUCGCGCCCCUACUGUCGCGCCCCAACCGUGAUUGAAGCCGCUGCUGCUCAGCCCGUUCGAAGUCCGACUCGCCGGCGACAUUGCCGUCGGCGAUUUCUCUUUCUUCUCUAUUUCUCUAUUCUGGAAUUUGGAUUUUUGGGUCUUGAGACGCCAAGAAAAAAUGGGGGUGGAGUGAAAAUGAAAGGAUGAGUGGACUACGAAGGAUGAUGGAAUGCAGUGUGUACUGCUUUCGGGUCAUGUUUUAUUUUUUAUUUUUAUGCACGUGUGACGAGAAAGUUAGUGAAAAUGUGUUCUACAGAAUAUAACUGUUGGUGAAAUGUUUGGGUUCUGGUUUGGCAA